rnacentral:rRNA from 1 species
GCGUAGGUAACCUGCCUUGUAGCGGGGGAGUAACUAUUGGAAACGAUAGCUAAUACCGCAUAACAAUGGAUGACACAUGUCAUUUAUUUUGAAAAGGGGCAAUUGCUCCACUACAAGAUGGACCUGCGUUGUAUUAGCUAGUAGGUGAGGUAAUGGCUCACCUAGGCGACGAUACAUAGCCGACCUGAGAGGGUGAUCGGCCACACUGGGACUGAGACACGGCCCAGACUCCUACGGGAGGCAGCAUG